GACGAAGGAUGCAAGCGUUAUCCGGAUUCAUUGGGUUUAAAGGGAGCGUAGGUGGUCUUAUAAGUCAGUGGUGAAAUCUCGCAGCUUAACUGCGAAACUGCCAUUGAUACUGUAGGACUUGAGUAUAGUUGCUGUGGGCGGAAUAUGACAUGUAGUGGUGAAAUACUUAGAGAUGUCAUAGAACACCGAUUGCGAAGGCAGCUCACAAAACUAUAACUGGCACUGAGGCUCGAAAGUGCGGGGAUCAAACAGG
rnacentral:rRNA from 1 species